AUCCUGUUAAGUCAGGCAACGAGCGAGACCCACGCCCACAGUUGCCAGCGUACUCUCUGGAGUGACGGGUACACUGUGGGGACCGCCGCUGCUAAAGCGGAGGAAGGAAUGGGCAACGGUAGGUCAGUAUGCCCCGAAUAUCCCGGGCUACACGCGAGCUACAAUGGUUGGUACAAUGGGUAUCUACCCCGAAAGGGGACGGGAAUCUCCUAAAACCAAUCUUAGUUCGGAUUGAGGGCUGCAACUCGCCCUCAUGAAGCUGGAAUCCGUAGUAAUCGCGUUUCAACAGAACGCGGUGAAUACGUCCCUGCUCCUU
rnacentral:rRNA from 1 species